rnacentral:sRNA from 1 species
CAUGAUCCGCCCGCCUUGGCCACCCAAAGUGGUGGGAGUACAGGCAUGAGCCACCGUGCCCGGCCAACCCUAUUAUGUUUAAAGGCAGCUUGCUAUUCUCAGAGAUCAGUUCUUCAUUUGUUCUCCAGUUGUAUUCAUCCUUUCCCUUGUUCGUGGAGGGCAACUAGUGUCUUGUUUCUAUGUUUACUGUUUCCAUUGAAACCCUAGAGCAACGUUUGGGUUUCAGAAUCAAGUUAUUAAAAAAAAGUGUCUUUCCUUCUCAGGAGCAAGGCGGGGAGGUGAGCCGGGCUCACCUGGGGCGGCUGUUCGUGUUCGCGCUGCUGUGGAGCGCGGGGGCGGCGCUGGAGCUGGACGGACGGCGCCGCCUGGAGCUCUGGCUGCGCUCUCGGCCCACAGGGACGCUGGAGCUGCCGCCGCCAGCGGGGCCCGGGGACACCGCCUUCGACUACUACGUGGCGCCCGACGGUACAUGGACGCACUGGAAUACGCGUACCCAGGAAUACCUGUAUCCGUCUGAUACCACCCCAGAGUAUGCUUCUAUUCUGGUGCCAAAUGUUGACAAUGUGAGGACUGACUUUCUAAUUCAAACCAUUGCUAAACAGGGCAAGGCUGUGCUAUUAAUUGGUGAACAAGGAACAGCCAAAACAGUAAUAAUUAAAGGAUUUAUGUCAAAAUA